rnacentral:lncRNA from 1 species
AUCUUGUACAAGCUCCCAAAGAUCUUGAGAAAUAAAAAGAGUCUUCAUUUGGAGGCUCCAAUAAUCAUAGUUAUCUCCAUCAAAAAUGGGGACAAGAUUCUGUGAAUAGUUGAACAUGGAUGGUGAUGAUGUUGUCAUGUUGAAGAACUAGUGUUGAGACAUAAGGCUAACCUCGCUCUGAUACCAAAUUUAUUGGGGUGGAGUGUAUGAAAGGAGAUAUUAGAUUGUUAGAGUAGGAAAAUGUUAUGGGAAAAACUUUGAAUGCUUCUUGUUCAUCUCAAUAUCUCAUACAAAUGAUGGAUAACAUGGCUAUUUAUAGACUUGUUGGAUAGUUCUAGAUUUUUCCACAUAAAUGAGAUAUUUCUCAAGCUCUACAUUAUUCUAGACUCUAGAUAUUUUACUUACAUACAUAUUUUUCCAAACAUGUUCUCUAGUAUUCUAGAGAACUCCAUGAUUUGAUAUUAUACUCAUAUAUCCAGAGACUUCUAGCUAAUACAAAUUACAAAUUACAUAUUAUACUUUAACAACUCUGAACCAACAGCAACAGUAAAUAUUACGGGAGUGGUCACAAUUUUAUGCAAGAGCAUUAUUGACACUCAAUAAUUCGAAAAAAACAGAGUAAAUAACCAAGGUCAAAAUAAAAGGAUUCGAUCGUAAACGAAGAAGAAAGGAGAAGAAGACGGAUUUACUGAACGAAAACUAAUAGGAAAAUAAAACGAAAACCUACCGGUUUCUGCCGGAAUUUGAACGGAACCUCGUUGGUAAUGGAAAAUGAGGCGGCGACUCCUCGACCGGAUCUGUAAUUCUCUACAGCCAGUCAUGGUCGUUUGGGUGGUUAACGCGGGGCUGGACUGGACGACGGGGACAGAUGC